rnacentral:lncRNA from 7 species
UGAUCCCCAACUCACCAGCUCCCACCCCACAGAUGCCCACCCCAUUGAUCCACAAUUCACAAGUUCCCACCCCAUUGAUGCCCACCCCAUUGACGCCUGGCCCAUUGAUGGCCAUCCUAUUGACGCCCACCCCAUUGACCCCCAAUUCACCAGCGGCCACCCCAUUGAUGAUGCCCACCCCACUGAUGCCCACCCCAUUGAUCCCCAAUUCACCAGCUCCCAUCCCAUUGAUGCCCACCCCAUUGAUGCCCACUCCAUUGAUGCCCAUCCUAUUGACGCCCACCCCAUUGAUGCCCACCCCAUUGACCCCCAGCCCACCAGCUCCCACCCCAUUGAUGAUGCCCACCCCAUUGACGCCCACCCCAUUGAUCCCCAGCUCACCAGUUCCCCCCCCAUUGAUGUCCCCCCCAUGAUCCACAAUUCACCAGCUCCCAUCCCAUUGACGCCCACCCCAUUGACGCCCACCCCAUUGAUGUCCCCCCCAUUGAUCCCCAGCUCACCAGUUCCCACCCCACUGAUGCCCACUCCAUGGAUGCCCACUCCAUCACUUCCAGCCCAUGGAUUCCCAGUCCACCAAUGCCAACCCAUGGAUGCCCACUCCAUCAUUGCCAGUGCAGUGCUUCCCAGUCCAUCACUUCCAGCCCAUGGAUGCCCACUCCAUCACUUCCAGCCCAUUGAUUCCCAGUUCACCACUGCCAGCCCACUGAUGCCAGCCCAGUUCAUCCCAGUUCACCACUGCCAGCCCAUGGAUGGCCAACCCAUUGAUUCCCAGUCCACCAAUGCCAGCCCAUUGAUGCCAGCCCAGUUCUUCCCAGCCCAUUGAUGCCCAGUUCACCACUUCCAGCCCAUCGAUUCCCACUCCAUCACUUCCCAGCCCAGUGCUUCCCAGUCCACCAACGCAGUCCAUCAGUGCCCCCCAACCCCCCCCUCCCCCCCCCCCCCCCACAGACGUUGGUCCAUUCUUGCACUCCGUGGGGCCGUCGCCUCUCUCCCCUCUCCCCCCUCCAACGGCGGUCGUAGUGGGGGGUGAGAGGUGGGGAGGGGGGGGGGGGGGGUCCUCCUUCACCCCUCAGCCCCACUCAGUGCCAGCCCAGAGGAGCGCUGGGUGGACUCUAAGGCUGAUUUAAGACAGCUCGUUAAGCACACGCGCUAAUGAGAGGUGGGGGGGGGGGGCGGGGGGUAGCGGAUGUGAACCAGAGGGUGCUGAGAGCUGCCAAUGUCUGUGCGAAGCAAAGUUGUUGGGGGGGGGGGGGGGGGAGAGCUGGAGGUCCCUUUUUGGGCACAUCCUUCCUCUUCCUCCUCCUCCUCCUCCUCCCUCCUCCUCCUCCUCCUCCUCCUCUCUUUGAAUCCUCGGCUUUAGGACACGGUGGGGUCCUUGGGUUUGGGUUGCUCAGUCCCGGAUAGGAGGGAGAUGGUGGGGUCUUCGUUGUAUUCGUCCCCGUCGGUGAAAUAGGAGCCCUCCCCCAACUCGAAGAAGAUGGGGAGGUCUCCGCUGCCCACGUCCACCGCGCUCGAAUCCACCAGGAAGAGGGGCUGAGCCGUGUAGUGAACCAACUGCUUCCCUGCAAGGCAGCCAGGCGUGGGAUGGGGGGUGGGGACGGGGGGGGGGGGAUGGGGAGGUGGGGAUGGGAUAGGAGGGGGAUGGGAUGGGAUGGGGAGGGGGUGGGGAAGUGGGAUGGGAUGGGAUGGGAAUGGGGACGUGGGGAUGGGAUGGGAUGGGGAG